AGUUUAUUAUGGAGGACUUGAAGCCCGAGGGCUGGCGGCAGCUACUUCAGCCCCAUGGUGCAGCUGGCAAAAACAGCACAAGUCUCCUUCGCAGGUCCUCAUCAUGGAGGAGGCCUGGGGAGCGGGGUUAUUACGAGGGCCCCGCGGCGCAGGUGAAUGAGCCCCCUCGCAGAGCUCGUCCACUGAGCUGCAUAGAGGGUGGCAGGAUGGACAAAUGGCUUCAGACACUAGAGAGACUCCAAUCACGUCGGCUUCAGAAUCAAAUACCUCCGUUUGUGGACAGGACGAUAUCAAUGCCAGUUCCCUCGAAUGAGACAGCGGGAAGUAACCCACUGUGUCCUGAUGUUUCCUCUCUGCGCAGGAGGAAUCAGACCCCUAGCGUCUGUCCCAGAGUGAGUGAAAGCUCCUCGAGCAGUCUGGAGUCUGUUCACAUUAAAGCUGCUCCCGCUGCAGAAAGAGCUCAGUUCUGCGCUCUCGCUCCAGUUCACUUCGGCUGGCUGCCCAUACAAAGACAUGUGAUACUGACAGACAUCUGUCAUAACCACCAUGACAACAGUAGGUGCCAGCAGAAACUGAAGUCUCCCAUCACUCCAGUGUUGCUCAGCACUCCUGCCAAACUUAAUGGACCAAGACCAAAUGACAGGGAGACUUCGAGGCCUGAACCUGUAGGCUUUAGAUACUGGAAAACACCUGAAAAAACACCAUCCGUCCUCCAUCAGGCUUCGGGAUCCGUGAGCACUGAGGGAGGACGAAAUGGACCACAAGCCUGGAAUCCGAAAGCCGAGAUAGACACAUGCCACGCUGGACCACAUCCCAUGUUGAGAAAUCCCACAUGCAGGCGUGGAAGUGCGCCGGAGUCCUUCAGCUCCUCGAUAUCAUCCAUCACUAUCACUUCCAGGAAGGUCACGCACACAAACUCCAGGCCUCUGAGUCCAGCGAUGAAUAGCCUCGCCGAUGGACACAGAAAAGCUUUAGUGGUCAAAGUCACUGAACAGAGGACGAAAAGCACUUCCAGUCUGCCCAUCGCCUCGACCUCUGGCUCUGAUCAUGAAGAGAUGGACCAUGGUGUGGUCCUGAGAAGAAAGGCAACCAUUGUGAAAAUGACCGAACAGAGAGAGCGUUUCAGUCCAGUGAAAUACAGACACAGCUACACUGAAGGACUCCAUAAUGAAUCUAAAGUCAGUCCCUCACCAUUAAACCAACCGUUAACUAUAUCUCUAGAGCCAGGAGGAAACCAGUGGAGGUCCCAGCACAGAUCUAGCCUAUCUCUCUACCUCAACAACCCAAACGAUAGCAGCGCAGUAGGGGAGAGCAACACCAAAACACACAAGCCACCUCGAAGGCCUCUCAGCUGCGACGCAAGCCUGUUUAACCACACAGAACUUGGCAGUAAUGCAGUUAUACAGCCAGCGUUUCACAACAAGAGCUCUCCUGUUCCCCAGAAGACAAAUAUUGACCUUGUUAGUUCCAGCAGCAGCGAAGCAAGAAGGCGCUGGGCCUCCGGUGGCGAGGAUGGGAGCAAGAGGAAAGAGUGGGAUCAUAACUCGGCUGAUCUGAGCGCAGACGCCGUCCUGGCCCUGAACGCCGCUGCGGUUAUUGCCAACAUAAAGCUGCAGGCCCAGCAGAGACGAACUACAUCCCACACAGCAACAGCAGGAGGCUUUAGUGAUCAGACGGCCCGAUUUCAUCCAGCGCUCACAGGCCAGGGUUCGAGCGCUCGAGAGGAGGUCGCAGGAGAGGCAGAACUCCCACAGCUCACCGCAGACAGUCGAGAGCGGAGGAAGCCUUGUGAAAUCCAAAGACAGAAGCAUCAUGGGAAAGAGUCUACAGCUGCGGUCCAGGAGAAACUUCUGGAGCAGAUUUUGCAGAGGGGAGGAAAUCACUGACAUCGCCUUGGACUCGUGUUUCUCCUCACUCCACAGUUCUCAUGCCGGCCCUUGAAAAAUAUGACAUGACAUUAGUUAGAAAUGUUAUGGAAUAGUUCCUUCCAGAACGAAUGUGCCUCAAACAUGGACUGCAGCCUCAUUUCUGUGGCUCUGGAUUACAUCUUCUCUCUCUUUACAUACAUUACUGGUUAAACAUUUUGAAUAAUUAUGGUUUUAAUGUUACAGCUAGGCUUAUGUUCAGCUAUGCUGCAUUUAUUUGCUCAAAAAUACAGUAAAAACUGUAACAAAUUUGAAAUAUUAUCACAAUUUAAAACAACUGUUUCCAAUUUGAAUAUAUUUUAACAUGUAAUUUAUUCCUGUGAUGCGCAGCUGUGUUUUCAGCAUCAUUACUCCAGUCUUCAGUGUCACAUGAUCUUCAGAAAUCAUUCUAAUAUUCUGAUUUGCUGCUCAAGAAAAAUGUAUGAUUAUUAUCCAUGUUGAAAACAGUGUUUGCUGCUUCAUAUUUUAUAGAAACGUUGCAUUUUUCAGUCCUACAGAUUCUCAACAGUAUCACAUGGCAAACACAGGACAUCAGGAGAGUCUUUUGGCUUCUCAGAGAUGCUACAGUUGCCAUAUAGACAGAUUGUUUGCCCUUUCUGUGCCUCUAUCCCUGUCAUAUUAUAUUAUGUAAGAGACACAACAUAAAAGAGCACAUUACGGCUCCGGUCCUCAUCGCUAAAAGCCUAAAAUCCAACAUUUGAAGACAUUCUUAUAACAUGAAGGGCCUGAUCCCGCUCUCAUGCAGUCGUAGGUUCUGCGGGCUCAUUAUGACAUCACUAGCCUUCCUCUGUCCGUGUCUCUCCGAGCCAUUAGCCGGGAGCAAAAGGAAUUUGACCUCGUCUGAAUAAGAAUGCAUCACUAAUGGAGCCGAGUGCUUGCACGGGGUGAAAGAGGCUUUUGUCCUCUCUCUGAAUGAGCCGAGACUGUCCCACAUGUGCCUGCUUAGACGGGACACGACUGCGCAAUAGUCGAGUUAUAAACUGAAGCCUUGCAGUAAAACUUGACUUGAUAGACUUUAUAUUAUGUCCUAUCACUUUGUUUGGUAUCUUAACUAUCACAUUUCAAAAUCAAAAGAUUGGGCCAGAAGAUGUGAAGUGGAGUAAUGUAGCUUCCUUUGUGUGUAAAAAGAUGCAUUUUAGACCAGACAUUACACAAGUACAGAAAUGUAAGUGCAAAUGCUCAGCCUUUGGACAAAUUAUCCCUGUAAGUCCCUAUAAGGAAAGUCAUUUCACUCAGUGGCCGUCUUUGUAACACUAUUUCUGACAUGCAAGUAACAGCUUUUAUUUCUUUGAAUGGGGAAACAUCAAAUUCGUCUAAGCAAUGCAGCAAUAAAAUUGUCUGUUUAUGUCAUAUUUGCAUUUACAGGUUACUCAAGGGUGCGCUAGAAUUUUAGAAGAUGUUAUUCAGUGAAUGGACGGCACAGGUGAAAGCGUGCAGUGAAGUUUAUUGGACAUGUAUAUGGUGAACACUGACCCUUCUUUAUCACAGGAGCUCGUCUGGAGUCUGUUUCACACCUGAAGACAGCUGGUACAUUGACCCCGGGAUGGGACGGGACAAUCCCAGAACCUCUGAAUUACGUCAACAAAGAACUCGGGGCCCAUGAGGGCCAUUCUAGCAAAUGGGUCCUUUUGUGUUCCUCAUUAACAUAUGAUUUAACUUCAUAACUAAAACAAAAACUGAAGAAAAAUUAAAAA
ensembl:lncRNA